rnacentral:rRNA from 1 species
UACGGGGGGUGCGAGCGUUGUCCGGAAUCACUGGGCGUAAAGGGCGCGUAGGUGGUCUGAUAAGGGUGUGGUGAAAGCCCGGGGCUCAACCCCGGGUCGGCCGUGCCGACUGUUAGACUAGAGUGCUGUAGGGGCAGGCGGAAUUCCGGGUGUAGCGGUGGAAUGCGUAGAGAUCCGGAGGAAGGCCGGUGGCGAAGGCGGCGCUCUGGAACGUUACUGACGCUGAGACACGAAAGCGUGGGGAGCAAACAGG